rnacentral:snoRNA from 1 species
CGCUUAUGCUGACGUGUGUAUUUCAGGAUUGACAGUUGAGAUAUUGAUGUCCAUGGCCAGAUUAUUGGAUAUAGCUUCUUUUUCAUGCAGACAUCCCGACUGCUAGCUGCAUGUUUCGGUCGAGGAGAGACAAUGGCCAAUCAUCUACCAUUACACCACGAGGCAUUUCCUUCGCCCUUUAU